rnacentral:rRNA from 1 species
GGGUCAGUAGGUUGGUCGUGCCACCGGUACGUACUGGUCUCACUGAUUCCUCCUUCCUGAAGAACCGUAAUGCCAUUAAUUUGGUGUUGCGGGAAACAGGACUGUUACUUUGAAAAAAUUAGAGUGUUUAAAGCAAGCUAACGCUUGAAUACAUUAGCAUGGAACAAUGAAAUAGGACGAUCGAUCCUAUUUUGUUGGUUUCUAGGAUUGACGUA